rnacentral:rRNA from 1 species
UACGAAGGGGGCUAGCGUUGCUCGGAAUUACUGGGCGUAAAGCGCACGUAGGCGGCUCUUUAAGUCGGAGGUGAAAUCCUGGAGCUCAACUCCAGAACUGCCUUCGAUACUGAAGAGCUCGAGUCCGGGAGAGGUGAGUGGAACUGCGAGUGUAGAGGUGAAAUUCGUAGAUAUUCGCAAGAACACCAGUGGCGAAGGCGGCUCACUGGCCCGGUACUGACGCUGAGGCGCGAAAGCUAGGGGAGCAAACAGG